rnacentral:lncRNA from 1 species
GUACUUUUUGUGAUGUGAUGUGUGUGAGAUAAAAAGGUAAUUGGAAAGAUAAAAAGGUGUAUUGGAAAUUGUAAUGAUGAUGUAAGCAGAUAAAAUUGGGGAAAUAAAACACAAUCCAAACAAACCCUAUACUUGAUACCUGAUGUCAUAUAUAUGAGGAUUCACUUUUAUCGUCCAAUAACACAUUUAUUAAUUUUAUAACCCAAUAACAUGUAACUCUAAUCCAACACAAAUGAAGACAAUUAUGAUUAAAAACAGAAGAAUGUUGAUUUAACUAUUCAUUGAAUAUUGGAUUUUUCUCAUGCAAGUUCUAUGGCUUUAUCCAAGUUUAAAACUCAGUGUAAUGUGUUAAUUUAACAUGACGUAUGUCUUGAUUUAAUUCAAUAAAAAUUAAUUUUUCAUUUUUGAACUAUUCAACUUAGUAGAUAGAGGAUACGCGAUGGGUAAUCCGAACCCAUGAAUAAGAGGAUCUGUUAAUAAGAAUUAAAGUCUAUAGAGUUAUCUUAUAGGGUUUGGUAAAAUUAGGCCUAUCAACGGUCCGGGUCUAGACCCAGAUUCGACCCGGAUCCGUCAAUUUUUUAUGGGUCCGGGUAGGGAUAUAAUGCCGUUACCCGAACCCGAAUCCGAAUCCGUUUUGUCAAACAAAAAAACGGGUCGAAUACGGAAUAUAUCAUUCCGGCCCGUAUUUGACCCGUAUCCGAAUAUAAAAUAGAUAUAUAUAUAUAUAUAUACCAAUAAUAUAUCCCAAAUUUAUACCCCAAAUUUACUUCUAUACCCCAAAGGCCCAAACAACUAAAUAUUAUCCACGGACAUGCAGAACCUUUGGCAUAUACAACACCUGUUGCAAAAGCAUGAAUUUGAAUCUAACAAAAAGUAUUUAUCAAUGCUAAACAUUAUAUCUAGAAGAUGUUAAUUAACAUAUGCAAUAUAGCCUAGCUAAGACUUUAACCAAGUGACAACAUUGAAAUAAUACUUGUUGGACAAAAUUAAAUUGACCUUUCUUAAUAAAAAAAAGUAAUACUUUUUUUAAUUUUGUUGUAAAACAGGUUUCAGCUAUUUUUUCGGGUAGACCCGUCGGAUCCGGAUCCGAAACUAGAGUAGAAGACCCGUCGGAUAAACGGGUUGGAUAUGGAACCAGCAUAGUAGUAACGGGUCCGGGUCCGGAAUAAUGAAUUCCGACCCGGGUUCGACCCGUUGACAGGUCUAGGUAAAAUACUCAGAUAUACAAGUUAGAGUUUGGUAAUAGGAAUUUUCAAGGAUACGCGACAAAAAGUUUGGAAACAAAAAUUUUUGAGAGUUUUUGGCAACUCCAAGCUAUCAUACUUUUAUCUUCAGUGAGAAUUAUGCCAAUUACACUUUAUUAUACUCCAUUGCGGAUGCCGGCCCACCUGAGGGCCCCUUGUCUUGCCGGUCAAGCAAAACCCUCCCCUAAAAAAAAUCCUUCUCCUCUCCCACUGCCCAAUUCAUAUUAUUAUGUAAAAUGUUCCAUCUGGAAAAAUCCCAAAUUGAUGCUGUUCCUAAACUAGUAUAGCUACUACUGAAUUCAGCUCUAGCUGGUAAGUUCUCCUUCUGCUGCUUAUGAAAUAAUUUCCCAACUUCCUUAAAAUGCUGCCUAUUUCUACUUCUCCGUUCCCCUUAUAAUGCUUCGUGUUUGAUUGCUUCUUUCUUACGACAGAAUACGAUUAUAAAAUAUGAGUACUUCAUUAAUUCCCAUCUAUUUACUGCGCAAUUCACAAGCGUUGAAAAUGAAAUUCUUUUGUCUUUUUUUUUUUUUUUGGUUUUACUUGUUAUUGUUUCUUGCAGGAUGACCGGAUGGAUAUGUUGGAUUUCUAAUGUAGGGGAUUUUGAUCUCUGACUAAUUGGGCUUUUACAUAUAAGUUUUCUUAAUAUUGAAGUGCUACAUUGCGAUGGCUGCUGUUAGAUUUUCACGUUUAAGAUCACUUUGUUAUUCUGCAAAAUUCGUGGACUCAUUUGACGUCAGACGCACAUCUGCUUUUGGAACCCGAAAUUAUUACAGUAGAUAUUGCAGAGAAUCGGGGCUUAAGUUGAAUCCUAUUUGCAGUGGAUUGGGAAUCACGGGUUUGGACUCUGCUGUUGGUAAUGGUUAUAGUAGGGGAAAGUAUACUAGUCCCUCUGGGUCCAGCUUCUCGAAUUUGGCUAUAAGAAGUAGUGCCCCUUUUGGUGGAGUUGGUCCUAUGUUGAAUUAUCGGUCAUAUUCGUCUAGUACCAAUAGCCAAGAUGGUAGCCCGCAAGUUCCAGCUGCUGCUUCAGGUGAUGGUGGUUCUAGUGCAAGUGAUUGGACGGAGAAAGUUAAAGAGAUAUGGAACUCUACCGUAGAUGCUGUGACAUAUACAGGAGAAAAGGCUAGAGAGGCGUCAAGUGAAGUCACUCCUCAUGUUCAGCAAUUGCUAGAUACACAUCCGUAUCUGAGGGAUGUGGUUGUUCCUGUUGGUGGUACUUUGAUGGGGACAUUAUUAGCUUGGAUGGUUUUGCCAAGUGUUUUGAGGAGAUUUCAUAAGUACUCAACACAAGGUCCAGCGGCUUUGUUAUCUGGAAGCUCAUUGUGGGGGCCCGUUCCUUAUGAGAACAGUAUUUGGGGUGCUUUGGAGAAACCAGUUCGAUAUCUUGUAACCUUCAUGGCAGUUUCUCAGAUGUAAGAUAUCCAAGUAGUUGUAUCUCUUUCAUACCUCUGUUUUUUGUAAUUGAGGUCCUAACAAUUUUUUUUACUGUAAUUUUUUUUUUGUUUAAUUUGUGCAUGCAGUGCUGUCAUGGUGGCACCAACAACUAUCGCAGCACAAUACAUUGCACCAGCUUGGAGGGGUGCAAUUAUUCUUUCAUUUAUCUGGUUCCUGAAUCGAUGGAAGACUAAUGUCAUUACUCGAGCUUUGGCUACUAAGAGUGGAGUUGACAGAGACAAUUUGUUAACCUUGGAUAAAAUCUCUUCUGUUGGUUUAUUUGUCCUUGGAUUGAUGGGUUUAUCUGAGGCAUGUGGAGUGGCUGUACAGUCUAUUCUAACUGUAGGAGGCAUAGGAGGUGAGUUUUGCACAGCUAAUGUUUUUGCUGUUUUUUCUGUAGUGAACAGAUUUUUGUCAGUGUAGACACUUCAGUGUCAAUUUCUGGAAAUGCAGAUUUUCUAAGCGUUGAUAAGGACUUACAUUUACUUGCAUUCUAUGGUCAUUCCAGCCAAAUAGUUUGAUCUUGUCCAUGUUUAUUUGGAAUUACUUCUGAUAUCUCUAUUCAGGAAUUUGUUUGAGAAUUUGCUGAACAAUAAAGGUUUAUGUAGGUAGAUUUUUUUUUUUUUGGGAGCUCACUUUCCGAUUUUAUUCAAGUCAUGUUAUCUUCAAGGAAGUAUUCUAUGCAUCCUUUUUAUGUUGGUUAGAUUUCUGAUAUUCCUUUGUAGCUUUUGGCUUUUAAGGGAUGUUGAAGCUGCCAAGUGUUUGUUAGUGUUCCUAUAUCAUUUGUUGGCUACUUCUUGAAAAUAGAAAGUUCUCUUACAUAAGAGCACCUUUUCACCUGACCUCUCCAAGAAUAUACUAUAGACAAUGUAGACAUUUGACUUUGGUGUCCAUUUUUCCAUUCCAUUUGUGCCUUAGUUUUUAACUUUCUAGUUCUAAUUAGGAUUACUUCAUGAAAAAACUUCUUAUUUUCAGUUAUCGAGCUACAACAGCUCUGAAUGCGUUGUUCUUGGAUUAAGCCUCCUGCUUCUGUCAUUGGACCGACCUGUCCCCUUAUUGGUAUUUUAUUGAAAACCAUCUUUUUUAAUAUUUGAGCAACUGUAAUUUCUGUUGGACCUCUUAGCAUCAUACAUCCGGCCUUCUAGAAGAUAUUUCAAGGUCAAGAACUUGGUAUCAGGGGAAGGUCUGAUAGGGAUUAUUGUACAACUGCUUAUGAAUGUAGUGGAAGCUACAGGUUGUAGUCACUAAGAAAGAACUUGGUAUCAGGGGAAGGUCUGAUAGGGAUUAUUAUACAACUGUUUACGAAUGUAGUAGAAGCUACAGUUUGUAGUCCACUAAGUUAUGCAAUGGUUGGAUUAAAUGGUCAUUAUUUUUUUUAUCAAAGUAAAAGCAGAAUGAAAGGCAAAGAGCUUGCAUUGGUUAUUGCAAAAAAACAGCACUAAGACUUGUGACUAUUUUUAUUCAGCUGUCCUGAUUUUGAAAAUUCUUAUUAGAGGUUAAUUGUUUUUUUUUUCCCAAUUGGAGGGGAAGAAAUGCUUGCAUUCUGUAUUUUUAAACAAGAGUUAUGGUUAGGUUUAAGAAGCAUUGAAAAUUGAUAUCAUCAUGCUUUGACUUGCCAUGCAGGAGUGGCUACUGCUUUUGCUGGUAGAGACAUCCUUGGGAAUGUCCUCAGUGGGCUAUCUGUACAGAUCUCGCGACCCUUUUCAAUAGGAGAUACGAUAAAAGUAUGUCCAAUCUAUUGUUUAUUCGUACUCAUGUUCUGAUUUUUUCUCCUUGUAUGUGUAUGAUGUGUUUUAAUUUGUCUGUUUAGUUGCUUUUAACCUAUGUACUUAUCUAUCCAUUUAGCCAACUAUUGUUUCAUCUAGCCAUCUGUUGAUAAUUCUUCGUCUCUCUCCAACAAGUUAAGACACCCAGCUUAAAUUUGAUUGGUUUCAUUUUCACUUCUAGAUAUUGUCUGUUGGAGAAUGGUAUCCUAUGCUUGGAUAGAAAUGAAUAAAGAUCCUCUUGCAGUUGUUGGACAGGCUCAUGUCUUUACUGUUUCAGCACUAUUAACAAUUUUAACUAGUUUGUUUCUUUUAAUAAAGUACGGGAUGGAGUAUUUGUUAUGUGCUUAUGGUAUAUGUGGUUAACUGACUCUCAAAGAUGUCGGAAAAUUUCUUUUCCUUUGUUUUUUUUUUUGUUUUAAGAUCUGGGGUCACAAUAUUAUGUUUGAGAAAAUAUGAUAUAGGUAUACUUUCUUCUAUGUGCAACGUUCCUGACUAAAGAAGAGAAGUGGAAACAUCAGUCCCAGCAGAGUGCUUAGGCAUUUUCAAGUCAUGGGAUGGCGUGUCUAGCCUUAACCUUUGCUGUAAAAGUGGUAAUCUCUUCUGGAAAAUCAUGUAGAAUUAAUCUUAACCCAGUUUGAGAUCAAUGUGCACGGACAUAAUUUAGUUCUUUUGCUACAAAUCAUAGGAAUGUUUGCUCAAGGUCAUGUAAUUUUUAUGCCAUUGUUACUGCAUAAACAAUAGGCAUAAACAAUAGAUGACAUAGUUGACAACCCUUGAUUGUGUUUAAAAUCUCAGUCAAUAACAAACACCACAUUAAGAAUUUCUUUGGGCUUCUUUUUUGCUCAAAAUCCAAGUAGAUCUUUACCUUCUUAUUUGUUCCUCCUUCUUUGCCCUGGUGAUCCUGCUGUCGCGGAGUGGUUUUCCAUUCCUCUGCACAACUUGAAAAUUAUAUUUUGAUUGACUGGUUUUGUCAACGUUGUGAUAGAAGUUGGCUUUUGAUCGUAUUUUAGAAGCUUGUGCAUAAUUUUCCUUCUGCUACCACUGUUGCAGGCAGGUUCCGUGGAAGGUCAGGUGAUAGAUAUGGGUCUAACAACUACAUCAUUGCUGACUUCAGAAAAAUUUCCUGUGAUAGUCCCAAAUUCUCUUUUUGCCAGUCAGGUGGGUCUUAUUUGUUUUAGAAUUUUCAAAACCUGCAUUUUGGUCUUUUUCUUUUCUGGGUUUUCAUCGUUGCUCUGCAACUAUAUGCUUGUGAGUUUUUGAGGCUUUUUUUCACUUGAAAGUGUUGGUUGGAGAAUUCUUUGUGGACACAAUUACGCAUAAUUUUGCUGCUACUGCUAGGAUGCUGUAGAUUUUGUUGAAGUGUUUCUGGCAGUCAACGUUUUGAAUUCUUGAUUCUCAAAAAUUUCAACUUGCAUUUUUCAAGUCUCAUCACCUAAUUGGGCUCCUGUAACUGUCUCAUGGGAAAUUGCCUAGCUGCCUAAAAGGUUGCACUGCAUUCUCUUUGUAACUGGCUGUAUUUUCUUUACUACUAUUCUAAAUCAGGAUUACCUCUGAAACUAGAGUCUCUUCAACUCAGUUUCUGGAGUGGUUUCUCAUUGCCUGUGUGUGAUGAAAUGCUUAGCUGGCCAAUGAUCCCUCCUUCAUUCAAGCCUCAAUUAAUAUUUUUUUUUAGGUUAGCUUCAAUUAAUUUUACCUUGGCAUUGCAUGAGAAAUGACUUUCUUUAUUGUGUUUCAUUUAGUCUUGUUCAAGUUCAAGUUCAACUUCAUGCGAAUUUUCUUCACUAAUGGUUGCUUUAAGUAGGUGAUUGUAAAUAAAUCGCGUGCUCAAUGGCAAGUCACAACGAAAAUCCCUGUCCAAAUUGGUGACUUUGAUGUGAUUCCAAAGAUUUCGGAAGAUAUAAAGAUUAUGCUCAGAUCCAAUUCGAAUGUGUUCUUGGAAAAGGAAGCACCAUAUUGUUUCUUGUCUAGGGUAGAAAGAUCAUUUGCAGAACUUACUAUUGGGUGCAAUCUAAAAGCGAUGGUAUGCUCGCUUUCAUAUUGUCUUAUCUUAGAGCUUUACAUCUCAGUUCAUGUAGCUUUGUUAAUCGGAUUCAUGCGAUGCUUUUAUUCACUGUUGAUUUGAUAAAAACCGUUAUUGCUAUUCCAAAUGUAGGGUAAAGAACACUUCUUUGCGGCUCAGCAGGAAGUUCUUCUUCAGUCAGUUAAGAUAAUCAAGCAACAUGGCGCUUCACUUGGUAAUUACGCGGAAGAUACUAGCUACUAGCAAAUUAGCUGUAAAAAGAAACCUUACCACUGAUUUUAGGCCAUUACAGUUUUAGUUUGCUGCAUGUUCGACUCAUUGUAUAGAAGUUUGUUUACACUGGAUUCCGAAGGGUAGGGUACGAUAAAAAUCUGUGCUUUUAGGAACAACGGCGCUAUGGUGCCAUUUCUGCUUGAGAAGAAAAUUUACAUUAUCAACACGUUUUUCGUUGAUACAAACUAUUGCAGAUGCUCCUUCCCAGCAUGCAAUUUUUGUACUGAAGUUUGUAAAUCGUUGAUUGGUGCUUAAGUUUUUUUUUUUUUUUUUUUUUAAAGAAAUUGUUCUGGAGCAUAGUCAAUAUCAACCAAUUGAUGACGCUUAAAGGGCAUGGAAGUUACAAAAAUGCACUGGCGGAAUCACAGAUUGAGAGUUGGGGGACAAGACUAUGAUCGAUGUACGCGUGAAGGGAUAUCUUUAGAUUUUUCUUUAAAAACUUGGGGUAGGAAACUCUAAUUUUUACAAGGAUGUAAUUGAAAACUCUUAAUACUUUAAGGACAUUCAAAGAUGUUCCCAAAAUCUUGGUGGCAUGAUCUCAAAGUGAAUAGCUUUACCUUUUUUUUUUUUUUUUUUUGGGUCUAACAUUAACAAUCUAGACUGCUUCUAUACUAUGGGAGAAGGGGGAAUCUACACUACUAUACUAUGGCAUUGGCAACUCAGUGUCAACUUCUAUAUUUAAACUCCUCUUGUGCAUUAUUAAUAUGGGAGCACAUGGAUCCUUAGUACCACUUAUCAGUGACAAUUCAGUGCCUAUUUUUAUAUUUAUGUCAAGUAUUUUAUUAUUUAAAUUGUUAUGUGCUAUUUAUUUAAAUUUUCUUUAUCUUCGUGUGAUAAAUGGGACUGACACUGAAUUUGACACCAAGUAGUGACACAAGAGGAUGUCAACUGACUAUAGGAGAGGGGGAAUCCACCUAAACUUGUAGGGAGUUCAAGAGUGAAUCUUUAAACUAAACAAGUGCAUUACUAUUUUUUAAGAAAUGAAGCACAAAGAUUACCUAUAAUGCACUAGGGGGUUUAAACCCUUGAUUUAAUGCACAGAGAGCUCUUAGCCACUCGACUAGAGCCCAAUGGUUCAAAAUUAAGGAUACGACUAAUUGAUUCUAAGGUCGAUACAUAAUCCAGCAUGUUCUUAUCUUCUCCAGCAGUUGCAAACUGGCAUCUACUUUUGAAUCCCAUUAUUCUUCAAGCACUCCACAAAUCGUUCAAUGUAGUAGUCAUUAAGCUUUUGAUCUCCAAACAAAGCAGCAGCUUCAGCAGCACGAGAUCUGAGGGCAGCUGCUUCCCCUCCACCUCCACCAUCAUUUGGUACCAUAGCUCGUGUCAACGACUCAGCUACAUCAUUUUUGCUAAAAGAUCCAUCCUCACCUCUCUCCACUUCGACGGCCAGGUCCUGCUCAACCACCAACCUUGCAUUCAGGCCUUGAUCAAGGAUCAAUGGCAACACCACAAGACAGUGCCCAUAUUGCAAGCUCUCAAUCACGGAACCCCACUCGGCGUGAAACAAACUGCCUCCAAUUGAAGGGUGCGCUAAAAUCUCCCUCUGAGGUGCCCACCCAAUGUGCACAACCCCUUUUCUAGAAAGCCUGGAGCUGUAACCCGAAGCAGAACAUCAGUUUCAUUCCCCGCCCAGCUCGGUUUUUGCAGUGCCCAGACGAAAGAUAGCCCCGAGAGUUCCAGCCCAUAUGCUAUCUCAUGGAUUUGAUCAUUGCUCAGCUUGCACUCGCUCCCAAAUCCAACAAAAACCACUGAUUUGUGACUUUGCUCGUCAAGCCAUUGGAAGACUUUGUUCCAACACUCGUCGGUGAAGACAUGAAUUGACUGCGUCUUCAGAGCAAGCGCCGUGAUCAUAGGUAUGCAUCAGUGCCCCACUGAGACAGAGCAACUAUAUGGGAGGGUACGAAAUGUACAGAAAUAAGACUCCCAGACUCCAAAUAUCGGUUUAUUAUGGGGUGGUGGAGCCUUUGGCCAGCGAAUUUGGUUCAAGCCAAUUCACUGCAACCCCCCCGUGUCUUUCUCAAUUUAUGUAUUGUAUGCCCUGGUUGGCGUAGGAGAAGUCAGGCAAGCAAAGCAUAUUCCAGAGUGGAAAUGGGGUCAUGGGAUUUUUCUUUCCUUUUUUCUUUUUUCAAUCUCACUUUCAAUGUCUUGGCUGGACAAUUGGACAAUGUGCACUGCCUUUGGAGCAUGACAAGGACACCUACAGUUUACAUGGUGUACAAGUGAGCUGUCUGUGGCUGUAUGGGGCUACUUUCUUUCCUUCAAUUGGUCCACAUUCUUUACUAGUAACUGAUUCUUUUUUCUUUCUUCAGAACAGUAAGGUAUUAGUCAUUUCGUACUAGGAUGAGGAAAUAAGACACCACCUAAUUAGUGGGCUGUAGUUGGUUCAAUUGGAUGCUGCUACUAUGGUUGCAUUUCUUUUUUGGUUCAAGGGCCAAUUGCAAACCUUACAAGGAGAAACAGGAAAAGGAGAUGAGAUUGAGAGUCGAACCAAAUCACAAGGUCAUCCUUUUCCUUCUGUUUUUUUGUGUGGUUGCAUUUCAUCUCUCUGUCACGGUUCUGUUACUUAAAACAAUAGGUAGCUCUACAUUGAGCAGAGUCAGAAAUUUCCUAAUCCUUUCUCAUGCCGUUCUUAAUUGGUCUAUGGAUAAACAGCACAUUUACCUGCUAAGAAAAUGGAUGAUCAUUUGGGAUUUGAUGGCUUGCGCUUCUAUUUGUUAAUGGAUUUGAACAGCACAAAGUUUCUGUAGUGAUGCUUGUACAUUCAGCAGCAGAUAGAUGUAUUAUAUGUACAGGUGAUUAUUUAAAACCUGCAACCAGUAGAGAAGAAAAGUCAAGUGUAUCAUCCAAUAAUUAGAGAAGUGUAGGUUUUAACAGCGGGAGCAAAAGUACUAAAUAGCUCUGGGAAUGCAAGUACAAUAAUUGAGCUGCUUGCGCGGAAGUAGGGGCAAGUUGCGGAUUCAUGUAUGCGGCAUAUCUUUUUUAGUAUUUUCUAAUUUUAGUAAUUUUUUCAAAAUUUUUUGAAACUUUUAUGAGUUAUAAUGUGCGUAUCACCCAAUAUUCAACCGAUAUGUCGCGACGGAUGUGGAACAACCGAUGCCUCGACCGCGACCGCGACCCGUGAUGGCGAACCAUGCAUCCACCCAGGGGGAGAUCAAAUCUGAGAUGAUCCAGUCAGGUCAUUGAUGUGCAACGAAUUGCCUGAAUGGGUUUUUGAGGAGAUCAUAUGCUAGUUUUAGAUACUGAAUUUUCUCAAAAUAUACGUCUACUGUGGGUUCGGCAUCUUCAGGCAACAAACUCCUGUCAACGGCUGGCAGGGGAAAUGCCACCAGGUCUAUGAGGCCUGUAACAUCAGGAGGAAGUUUGCGGAGCCUUUGAAUGUUUUUUGGGGUCGAAAUGAGUGAAGAAUGAACUCCAGCUUUGGCUAAGGCUAUAGAAAGCUUGAAAAAAGGCAUAAGAUGCCCAAAUGCUGACCAAGGCAGCAACACUACAUGAAUAUGAUCUCUGCUCAUUGUCUGCGGAGGGAACUUUUUUCUAUCUUCUCCGCAAUUCUUGGAGUUGCCAGGUAUGUGCAGAUGCUGUGUUACUCCGACUCGGCUAUCAAGUCCCGUUGAUACAGCUAUUCUAGUGCAAAAUGCAAAAUGAAAAGUUAGACAUGAAUAUGGCACGGCAAAAGGUGCAUUGCGUUCAGAUUUUUGUUCUUUUUAACUUCUUGAAAUAGACUUUAACUUGAAGCCAAUCAAAACAAAUCGAUGUUCUAAUUUGUUGGUGCUCAAUUUUGAAUUUCUACCUCCAACUUGAAUUUGAGCUCGAAUCCUUUCAACACCUUAAAAUUUGUGUUUGAUUUUGAUUUGAUAUUGUAUUUGAUCGGUUUGAGCUCUUUUUUUUUUUUAUAUAUAUAUAACUAUAUUGUUAAUAAUGCAUAUGUGAUCUUCAUAAAUGGUUAACAAAAAAAAUAGUCAAUUGUUAUCAAGUUUUAACAAGUCAAAUUUUUGUAAAUUUGAACUCGAUUCAAUAUUUUAAUCCAAUUCUUAUUAUUGCUCGAGUUCCUUGCUAUUAUUUAAGUUUGAAUUCGAAUCAAACUCUUGGGCAUUUUUUUUGUUUUGAGGGCGAAGGAAGGAAAGGAAAGCAAAGGAAAUGGAGGGAAAAGAAUUUUAAUAUUUAGACUGGUUUUUGAGCAGGGAAAGGGAAUGAUAAAGUUUAAUUAAUUUUGGUCAGUCUACUUUCCAUCCAAAAGUGGGUGGAAUCAGAGAAGAAGAAAACCAAGAUAAAUAAAAAUUUUAAAAUUUCUUAAAAAACCAUCAUCUAGCACUUGUACCAUAUGCUAGAAAAGCGUCAAAAUCUCAUCUCAAAUUACAUUUUAUCCCAAAAGUGGCGGACGAAAUUCAAAGGAAGAGUUUGAAUCAAGCUGCUUCUUUUAUAUAUAUAUAUAUAUAAAUCUUUCAAUCAAUUUAUUAAUUUCCACCUUAUAUAUAUAUUCAUUAUAUAUAUAUAUAUAUAUAUAUAUAUAGAUUCUCAACCUCAAUAAAUGCGUACUUUUUUUAUUCAAUUUCUAGUACACAAUCUAUCAAAGAUAUUUGCAUUUCCUUUCUUGACCCAAAAAGAAUAGAAAAUAUUAAAAAGGUACUAAAUACUUGUGAUAUGCAAAGGUUCAAUUAAUCCAAACGCAAGCUGUACAGUUGCCUCCCAGAAUCGAAUUAAGUACAACUAAUGGAUUCUGGUAACCUCUCUAUUCGUGAACCUAUUAAACGUUGCCAUUGGGCUUUGAACCACUAACCCAUAUUUGGUGCUAAUACAUAGGUUCAAUUAAAAACCCAUUCAAGAGUACUACUGCUAAUAACAUACUAAAAUAAUAUAUAUAUAUAUAUAUAUAUAUAUAUAUAUGUCCUGUUUCCUCCAAAAAAAAAAAAAAAAAGGGGGGGGGGGGGGGGCCUGUGGCUGUGGCUGUGGAACAGAAUUUGAAAUUUUUUGAUCCGUCCGAGAGACCUAUAAAUGCUAGAACACCCAACCCAAAUGAGUGAGACUCCUUGACUAAAGAAACCUUUCAAGAGCAACAUCUCCUCCUCUUCUUUCUCCUCGCAUUCCACCACUGAAGAAGGAAGGUUUGGAUAUACUACUAUUCCUUGGAUUUCAUCAUAUCAAACAAUCAACAUCUGAAUUUGUUCAUUAGAAGAAUUUGUCAUGAUCCCUUAGAUUUUAUUUCUAUAGUUCUGUACAUAACGAAGAUCCUGAAAAUCCCAAAACCAUGAAAGAUGUAGAAUCUGCUAGGAUUUUGUUACACUCCAUGAAGAACCAAAGUUCCAUUCUUGGUUGGCUGACAAAACUCAUGGCGUCCGUGAUUCUCGUUUCCUUCAUCACCUGCGUUAUUUACUACAUAAAGUUAUUGUGCCCCUUGGCCAUAUACAUCGAGACCCCUCUUCACAUCCAUGAUCUAGAAAAAUCUUCAUCAUCAUCAUCAUCGUCAUCGUCUCUGCAGACACAAUCUUACUCUAGUCAAAACAAGUCGAACAUCAGAGGAGUACAAGAGUCAGAAAACCCUGGAAAAACGCAGCUCCAUCACAUUGUUUUCGGCAUUGCAGCUUCAUCCCAUCUAUGGAGUCAACGAAAGAACUACGUAAAAUUAUGGUGGAGGCCGGGGGAGACGAGAGGGUUUGUUUGGCUCGACAAGACCGUAAGUACAGGUACUGAGGAUGACAAUUCUCUUCCAACCUUAAAAUUGUCGAGCGACACCACCAAAUUCAGGUACAAGAAUACGGAAGGUGAUCGAUCAGCAUUACGUUUAACCCGGAUUGUAUCUGAAACAUUAAGGCUGGGAUUGGAGGAUGUUAGGUGGAUUGUGAUGGGGGAUGACGAUACAUUCUUUGUUGCUGAUAAUCUUGUUAGAGUUUUAUCCAAGUAUGAUCAUAAUCAGUUCUAUUAUAUUGGUAGCAAUUCAGAGAGCCAUUUGCAGAACAUUAGAUUUUCGUACAACAUGGCUUAUGGUGGUGGAGGUUUUGCCAUAAGCUAUCCCCUGGCCAAAGCUCUGGAAAAAAUUCAGGACAAUUGCAUACAAAGGUACCCGGAAUUGUACGGUUCAGAUGAUAGAGUCCAUGCUUGUUUGGCUGAACUUGGAGUCCCCCUGACCAAGGAGCUUGGAUUUCACCAGGUUUUUUUUUUCCCCUUCAACUUUCAAGAAGUUUUUCUGCCUGUUUGAUUAGUUGUACAUUUUUUUUCUUUUGUGCUUUGUUUCCAUUAGAUUAAUUUUGUGGCUACAACCAUUGUUUUUUUUUUUUUUUCAAUCUUCGUCGGACUAGCUAGCCUAGUCCAGAAUGGUUGUUACAGAUCAAUUUUGUUCUCGACUUUUUACGUUUAUCCUAGUAUGGCAUUUAUUUCAUCGUUAUUGUCUCUUAGCAACCAUAUUAAUUUAGGUGAAGUCCGAUUUAUUGCUGAGUUAGAUGAAUUAAUGAGUUAAGGUUAAUUAAUACAUUACAGUUAAUUUAGAAUUUCAAGAAAACGCAGGAUCAUAAGAUAAGGGAUUUGAGUUUCCGUGCAAUUUUCAAACACAAUGGAUGGAAACGAUUUAUGGUUGAAAUUAAUCUCCUUAAUUUAAAAUUGAAAGUUGGUAAGAUUUUGAAAUUGUAGAGGGAUCGAUCCAUGGACGAAUUGGUAGCUAGGAUAAGUACCGUAUACAAGUUAUGAAUUGGUAGGGCAAGUGUAACACAAGAAUUCAUCAUAAUGUAUAGGUGAAAAAACCAGCACGCAAUUAAGGGUGUCAAGAAAUGUCAAAAAAACACUUGCAAAAAUCUUGAAAUUUGUAGAUAUACAGGUCAGGUCAAGUUCGUCAUCAUUUCUGCUAUGAACCAACCAGGUGGGUGGCUUGGGUGCGCCUAAACACUAAACACAAAAUUUCAGAUACACAUAUCAUGCAUCGGUAUGAUUAAGUGAACUUGCUCCAAUAAUAUUGUCUGUUGGAUAUUGAGUACUAUAUUUAGAUUAUCUAAAGGGGCCGGGGCUGAUUAGAUAUUAUAGUUAAUGCAUAUGAUGAAAUAGGAGCUUUAAUUGAAAUUCAGGUGAACAACCCCUGAUCCUGUUUGCCUUUUGCUGGCAACCCAAAAUUAGAUUAAAAAAAAACGUCAGAUUUUCUAUGAUUUUGAAAGACCAAGCUAGAAGAUUAGACCGUAGAUGCGGUCAACCAACUGCUGUUCGUUCUUACGUACUUCUUUGUGGUUAACUUAAAACUCUCUCUCUAUACAUUUUGUGCAACAGUUCGACUUGUUUGGCAAUGUGUUUGGCAUCUUGGCAGCACAUCCAAUUGCACCCCUAGUCUCUCUCCACCAUCUAGACUUGAUUCUGCCCAUCUUCCCAAAUGUAAACCAAGUUGAAGCGCUGCAGAGAUUGAAGGUGCCGAUGGAACUGGACUCUGCAGCGCUAGCGCAGCAAUCAAUAUGCUAUGACAAUGCUAGAAACUGGACUAUUUCGGUCUCAUGGGGUUAUGCUGUCCAGAUUAUCCGGGGUGUCGUCACCCCGAGGGAGAUGGAAUUGCCAGCAAGAAGCUUUGUCAACUGGUACAAAAGGGCCGAUGAAACUGGAUUCACCUUCAACACUCGAUCUCUCAACAAAAAUUCUUGCCAGAGACCCGCGGUGUAUACAUUGUCUGCGGCUCAUUACAAUCCUUUGACCAAUCAAACUGUUAGCCAAUAUGUCUACUACAAAAAAUCAGGUCAUCAGUGUGAAUGGAAGAUGGCUAAUCCUUCACAAAUUCGUAAGGUGGAAGUUUAUCAGAAGCCUAAUCCGUUCCUUUGGGAUAAGGUAUGUAUGCAUUAUUCCCUUGGUUUUAGUUUUAUUAUAAUGCAUGCUAAAUCACAACUCUACGCUGGUGUUAACCUAUCAAGUUCUCAUUAGUUUUUUUUUUUUUUUUUUUUCCAUUUUUGAGCAGUCUCCUAGAAGAAAUUGCUGCAGACUUUUGGCUUCAGAAAAGAAAGAUACCAUGAUAAUUGAUGUUGGUGAAUGUGUAGAAGACGAAAUCAUUGAAAUGUAUAGCAGGAUAUGAACUAAACAACUUUAUUACUAUUAUUUUCACUUGCUGUGGUGGUGAUCCCAACACUCGAUACGUCGGCAUGCAAGUGCAUAAUGUUUCACAUUAAUGGCUCGAGACAAGAUCCUUCCCAAGUGUAAAAAAAAAAAAAAAAAAAAAAAAAAAAAAAAGGGAUGAAAAAUGAAUUUUUGUAAGUUUUGGGUUGUAUAUGAUAAAUCCUUCUCCAAAAUUUGUCCAAGUUUACAUAGUUCUUUUCCUAGUCAACACAAGGCCCAAAUAUGUAUUUCUGCUAGAUUGGUAUGCUUUUCAUGUUUGCAAAAGUUGAAAUCAACUUCCAGAUCCAGUUUCGGUAUUUAGGUGGGUGAGUAAACCUUUUUUUUUGGCCAUUAAAGCAUAUCAAUUUGGGGAAAAAUAUGUUGCUAUUAUGUUUUUUAAUUCAGUUCUUUCUACACAUUAGGAGGCCCCUGAAGUGAAUAAGUUUCUGUUUGCAAUGAAUCCCGACUUGGGAUUUUCCAAACUCCACAGGGUCCUAAGUUAGAUACUCUCCUAACCGUCCAAUCAAUCAAAGUUUAUCUCCGAUGUCGCUCUAGUGUGGAUUAAAAUCUAGGGUAAAUUACCUUUUAUUUCUAUGUAGUUAGUUAGAUACUUUACUACACAACUCCUUAUGAUUAAAAAAACUUACAUAUAGUUCCCUCAUGAUUUGAGUUAAAGUGUCACCAUCAAUUUAUUCGUUAAAACUAACGAUUAAUAGUAAAAAAUUAAAGUCAAACUAAUAAAUUGACAAAUUCACCAUUUCACUGCAUUUUUUUCUUUUUUUUUUGUCCUUUUCUUUCUCUCUUUUUUUUUUUGGGAAAAGAAGAGAUGAUUUUGAAAACUUAUACAUUGACCUACAAAAUCUUAAUUUUCUCUGAAUACAAAAGAGAUGGAAGGGAAAUAAAAAAAUAAAUAAGAAACAAAAAAUAUGAAAGGGAAAUAUAAAACAAAUAAAAAAGAAACAAUAAAUACCAAAUCUUUUUUACUACAAAUAUCACUAUAAGUUUUUAAACCAAAUCUUUAAUGGUAUUUUCUAUUUCGUAUUGAAUAAAUCUUAUAUACACUAUUACUGUUGAAUUUAUGACACAUGUGCAAAAAUUGAAUUUUAAAUUCAAAAUUUGCAAAAUUGUCAUCCAUCCAGAACAGACAGUAUGCACACUGUCAGUGUAAGAAAGAUUAAUCUUUUCCUAUUUAUCUAUUUUUAUUUCAAUUUCUUCUUUUUUUAUGUUUGGAGGAAAAAAAGAAGUAACAAAGGGGUAAAUUUAUCGAUUUAUUAGUUUGAUUUUGACUUUUUACUAUUGAUCGUUAGUUGUAACGGAAAAACUAACGAUAACACGUUAAUUCAAACCAUGAGAGAGUCAUAUGUAGGUUUUUAAACCAUAAGAGAAUUGUAUGAUAAAACACCAAACUACAAGAGGAUAAAAGGUAAUUUAUCCUAAAAUCUAAUUGGUAUAACACACAGCAGGAAGAGUUUUUCCCCUUCGAGAAGCAGAAACUGAGCUUCUCAGCACCAAUUAAAGUUUGUUAGAUGAUCAACUGGUAAAUGUGAGCAUGUGGUCCAAGCCCGGAAUACAAACCAGCCUAUAUUGAUGAUAAAUAAGCAGAAUUAAAAAUAGGAUUUGUUCUUAUAACAACUUUUGUGCCAUCCAAACCAGCCCAUAUUGAUGAUAAAUCUGAUCAUUUAUAGCCUAAUCAGUAAUCAAGUCUUCAUGGUGUCCGUUAAGCAGACCAAGUCUUCGAGAACUAUAUACAUUUCUUGGAGCGUUGACCAACCAAACUCGCUUCCCCUGGCUCUUUGAUGAGGUAAAGUUUUCAAAUUAUGCUUUUCUAGAACCCGAAGUCUGUUCAUUUUGGUUGCCAUUAUAAUACAUUUCUCGAACUAUUCUAUUGAUUUUGUUCAUUACCUACACCCAACAUUAUCUUAACUACCUUCGUUUUUCUGCCAAACCCUCUGCUAGGCCUCAGAAUUUGCUUCAGUAAAGCCAUUUUUGGAACAUUCCAGUGCUCGACAUGCCUGCAAGUUACCACCAGAUAGGUUAGCAGAUGAUCAAGCUAAAUAUCAAGAAACUGUGCCCAGAAGUAAUACAUACCGGCAUACUUUUCCAGAUUCCUUGCUGAAAUAAUAUUCCGUGUAACCAGUUGCUGCAACACAACCAGCGUAAAAACAUGUAAAACCAACUGCAAAUGUGCUCCUAAGCGUAUAACGAUGUCCUUGUUACUAGAACUUUCAGCUUGAAUAAACUUGCAGAAAAUAAGUCAUAUUUGCAGUGUCACAUAAGCACCUUAAGAUACCUGAAAGAAUUGGCUUCCAUGGAAAUGACAUAAUGCAGCUGAAACGCCAGUGUCCGAUGCCUUUUUCCUGCACCCAAAAGAAUUCCAUAUGAACAGUUUGUAACCCUCCAGCGUAGAUAACUUGUGCACACUCGCCCAUUUAACUUCUUCAGAUGCUUAGCUGACCUCAAAGUCCUCCCACUUCAUAAGUUUCAUGUUCGACUGCGCAAGAAGGGAACCAAAAGUCGUACAAUUCCUUUUGAACCGUCGCAAGCCUUUGAAAGAACCUGCUGGAUCUGCAAAUUCACAGUCUUCUUCAUACGCAUCAAGUGUCAGGUUUCCUGAGCACAAACACGAAGAACAAGCAGUUAUGAAAUUGAGCUUUUAUGUGUAUUUAUUGAUUGAGCAUGCUACAAUUCCCUUCCUUGAGAAAUUAACGUGGUUCUUUACCAAUUAUGAGCAAGAGUGGGAUCACAUAAUGCCAUCCCUUCAUUUAAGCAAAUACCUAGUAUUCACUUUGGCUAACUUCUUCAUCCCCAAGUUAUUGUUCUAUUAGAAAAUGGUCCGUUGUAUUCAUGUCAAUGUGAAAAUGAGGAUUUUCGAGAAAACUUACAAAGAUUAGAGCUUUUGAGGGGAUCUUUCAGCUCAAAACAAAAUCUUGAUGGCCAAAUCCACAGAAAACAUACAUGUCAGGUACCAUCUUAAUGAUUAAUUUGCUCAACUAAUGUCUCUAGUGUCUAGUAUAACUUUUAUUUACCAACUGAACAAAAUUCAAACUCUAAUUUCAUGAAUACAAACAAGUCUUUGAAACGGUUGAAGCACGUAAUCGGGAAUCAAACUGAAAAUACCAGCGCUGAGUGGCGUGAUUUGAAGAAUGUGAAAUAGAUAAAUAAGUAAAUAAACACACUGGUACUUGACAAGUUGGAUUCAGAAUUGAACCUGUAACAAAGUAGGAUCUCUGAAAAUCAUCUUUAAUAGCUUCCACAAUUGAGUUGCGAUCAGUUAUUCCGGACCUAUCAAGAGCUAGCUCUGAUGUUCCUUGCGGGGCUUCAACAUUUUUUGGAGGACGUACAAAAGAAGCAGCAAUGCCUAGGAGUUCAGAGCCGUACCAUGCCAUCUUCAGCAGCAAAUUUUCAGGUUCGGAUUCUUGACUAGAGGAAGAGGAUGAAGUGUUGCUUGUGUUCUUCAAAUUACAUUGCAAUUUGUACGUCUUUUGGCAAUCAAAGGACCUGUAUGCAUCGGGGAAACUAACAUGGUGAUGAUGAGUGUAGAGCUUGGAAGAGAUGGAAGCAGUAGAGAAGACAGUUGCCAUGUGGUUUCGGGAGAAGGUUUCCUGGGAAAAAUUCUUGUCCGAUGAUACGCGGCUGAGAAUUGGACCUAUGCCCAUGGGUUGCCUUUGGCUUUAAAUAUCUUUGCCUUGAAAUGAAUGCCAGCCAUAAUUUUUUGGGAUAAUUAUAGAAACCUCCCCUGAGGUUUCUAACAAUUGCAAUCACCUCCCUUCAGGUUUGAAUAAUUACACUAACCUCCCUUCAUAUAGUAAAAUGACUAUAAUAUCUUUCACUUAUAAAUAAUUCUUACAAAAAAAAAAAAUACUCUUACCAGUACAACUAGUCUUUCAUUAUAAAGCAACAGUUAUCACACAAAAUAAACUCUUAUUCUCUCUUCAACUCUCUCUCCUACCUUCAUUCUCCUACACCUCAUACUCCACUAUUUUUCCGUAAUUGCCAUCUACAUAACCAUCUAAUACAUCUCGAAUCCCCAUUAUUAUGGAAAUAGAUCCUUUUUCCCUUUUUUGUUUUCCUUUUUUUGUAAAUGUUAUUGAAUUGAAAUUGAUAAAUGAUAAGUUGCUCAAUCAGAUUUGUUGUCAAACUAAAUGAAGGUGAAAAGGAUGGUGGUGACAAGAAAAUAAAAGUGAUAGCUAAAAAGGGAACAUGGAUUGAGGAAUGUUACGUUAUUAUGCCAAUUGUGUAAAAAAAAAUUUUGGGAUAUAAAAAUUGCAAUCAGAUUUGCCUAAAGACAUGGGAUAUGGUCUCCUGUGUUGCUUUUGGUUGCUCCGUGUUGGUAUUUUUGUUGGGUUAGAUUAUUUUAGCAUCAACAAGGUUGCAACCAUUUAGAUUGAGUUUGGAUAGCAACAUUGAUCAAUUCAAACACUGAGUUUAGGCCAAAAAAAAAAAGUGACUAAAAAUUAGGUUGAAUGCAAACUUUAAUUGUCACAGUUGAUUUGCAUGGGAAGUUUUGGAGGGAUAUUAGUAGGUUGUCAAAAUGAUGAGAAUAUGGGGAUUAAGUUGAUGUGGUUUGUUGAGUUCAUUACAAUGGUGGUUAUGUUGUUUACAAUAGUUGCAAUAUAUAAGAAAUUUAUUAGUGAGUUUUUCCCCUUUCGAAGUAACAAAAGAGUAUUUUGGGAUUUUUUAGAACAAAUUUAACAUAUUGGGUCUAUAUUGUUACUGAAAUGCUAAUCGUAGGGGAUGAAAUUAUUCCUAAUCUAUAUUGAUUUGAAAUGCAUCUGAAAUUAUCCCUAAAUUUUUUCCUCUAUUAAUGUAAUCAUCGACCACUAGAAUUUUUGUUUUCCUGUUCAUAAGAGAAUUGUGCCGUCGCUGCCAGUAAUUCAAAAGAUGUAGACCAUCUAGAAAUUUCACAAAUUCAAGGGCUCUGUAACCAAAGGACACGUACAACAAGAACUGAGCAAAGGGUAGAGGAGAACUGGAGAAUAUAAUGAGCAGAAAUGCUCUAGUCUCCCUAGGGAAUCCAAGCAAGGUCAUGUUUCUUGCUCAUGUGUUCCUAAAAGAUUCUUUAUGGAAAAGGACAUCCAAAAAAUGAUUCUUGAUGGAAACAAUUGGAGCGUCUUUUAACUGGGUAAAUUUAAGUGCUCAAUAAACAAGGAAUCAACCCAUAGAAUCCCAGUAAACUUUGAAAAUACUAUCAACCCAAAAAUGCAAGGCACCUCGCAACCCAAACUUAAAAAUGCAGUUAUUGACAUGUGCCUUAAAAAGCGUAGAAUUUGAAGGUAAACAGAAGAAUGCAAUUAAGAUAUUACUAAAUACCACAUACUUAGGUUUUGGAACAGAUUGGCAGCAUGUCUUCUUCAUGGUUCAUUGAAAUUUGAGUUUUAAGAGUUAUUUCUGUUAGCUGAUAUAUCUGCUCUGACUAUGUAUUAUAUAGCACACAAAUGUCAUCAAUUAUUUGACAAAGUGCGAUUUUACAGAGUAAAUAAAAGCUCUCAACAGAUGCAUGCCCAUAUAUAUGGGAAGAAUGGAGGCAAACGCCAAAACUAAUGCCCCAGUGAACGACUAUAGUGUUCAUUUGCCGAAUAGUCCACUUGUAGUUUUUGUAGCAUUAGCAAUAUAGUUACAUUGCAGAUUACUUCAGGAUAUGGAUACAGAUUGAUGCUGCACGUGAAUAAUUGAUAAUACUGCUGGAAAUCGAGGAUAUAAUUAGCCCCUUACAAAUCUUUACAAACCCUCCCAGGCCUAACAGCUGACCUCUGAAGUUUCCAAGUGCCUAUCACAUCAAGAUGGAAAAUACUAGCAAACACCAAAAGAAUUUCCUUUCACAAGUUCCGUCCAUUUCAUUUCAAUUCAAUUCGACCACUCCAUUUACAUCAGCAUAAAGAUUACUUGUUUCUUGAAUCCUAGAAGUAAACAGCGUAAUUUCAAUCUACUCUCCCAAGGCAGAAGCCCGUAGUGUGUACGCUUAGUCAGUGUUAAACUCCCUGCACAAAAGUGAGUCAAUGCAUCAUUCUAUAUUUACAUUAAAAGCCUCUGCAUGACAAUUCCUCUUCAGUUUCAUAC